rnacentral:rRNA from 1 species
GACGAACGCUGGCGGCGUGCUUAACACAUGCAAGUCGAACGGAAAGGCCCUGCUUUUGUGGGGUGCUCGAGUGGCGAACGGGUGAGUAACACGUGAGUAACCUGCCCUUGACUGUGGGAUAACUUCAGGAAACUGGGUCUAAUACCGGAUAGGAGCUCCUGCUGCAUGGUGGGGGUUGGAAAGUUUCGGCGGUUGGGGAUGGACUCGCGGCUUAUCAGCUUGUUGGUGGGGUAGUGGCUUACCAAGGCUUUGACGGGUAGCCGGCCUGAGAGGGUGACCGGCCACAUUGGGACUGAGAUACGGCCCAGACUCCUACGGGAGGCAGCAGUGGGGAAUAUUGCACAAUGGGCGGAAGCCUGAUGCAGCAACGCCGCGUGCGGGAUGACGGCCUUCGGGUUGUAAACCGCUUUCGCCUGUGACGAAGCGUGAGUGACGGUAAUGGGUAAAGAAGCACCGGCUAACUACGUG